UACGUAGGGGGGCGAGCGUUGUCCGGAUUUAUUGGGCGUAAAGAGCGUGUAGGCGGCCUGGCAGGUCUGCUGUGAAAACUCGAGGCUCAACCUCGAGAUGUCGGCGGAAACCGUCUGGCUAGAGUCCGGAAGAGGAGAGUGGAAUUCCUGGUGUAGCGGUGAAAUGCGCAGAUAUCAGGAAGAACACCUAUGGCGAAGGCAGCUCUCUGGGACGGUACUGACGCUGAGACGCGAAAAGCGUGGGGGAUCAAACAGG
rnacentral:rRNA from 1 species